UGAUAUUGUUCAUUUACUUAGGAGAAACUAAAGUAUAAAUGAUCCCAAUUCACUACCUACUUAAAUGAUUAAAUGGAACAUGGAAUUCAAAGACUAAUUAAACUGAUAUCUUAAUGUCUUUUUUAUCUUCUAGUUUUAUCUUCUCCUCCUUAGGCUUGUCACCGUGGGCUAAUGUAAGGCUUCCUCGUGGUCAUGAAUUCUGUGGUUGCAUUUGAUGUGUUAAGGGUUAGGAGAACAAAGUGAGUCAUAGUCAAACCUCUUCUUGGUUUUGUGGUUUUCAUUUUCACUGCAUUCUUUAAAUUCUAUAAAAAAAAAAUAAUCGAUGAUUGUGAACCAUGGCCAAAUAGUAGAAGCAGGGUUAACAUGAAACAUUAUAUUAAUGCAUCUGGAUAGGACACUUUGAGGUCAAUUGAUGACAGUUUCUGUGGGAAGUCCUUCUAUAGACAAAUCAAAGAGCCAAGGACCUUCCUUGUUUUAAGUUUUUGUGACGAUGAAGCACUUUUUUAAAAAAUAUAGUUAAUAGUGAAUGGACGAUCAGUAAAAAAGUGUUGACAUGAAGGAAUUAUGGACAAACAAUGAUGACUUGUGGUAUGAGUCUUUGAUGAGGAACACCACAGGUCAACACAAAAAAUCUAAUACUUUCCCCUCUUUUGAAGUGAUCCUUUAGGGAGAUGCCAGGCAUAUAUGGGGAUCAUGUUCUUAGUCUUUGUGUACAGUAAUAUCUAAAAUUAUUAUUAUUAAGAAAUCAAUGUCAGGAUAAACAAAUAUGUAAGUGAAUAAAUAUGAAACAAGGAAAUACCGUUCAUUAUAAGUAUUAUAAAGAAAUCUGAUGACGUAAAUUGGAAUGGAAAAUAAAAUAAUCAAGUGUAUAUGUCUUUGAGUGGGAAUAAUAGUGAUGAUCGUCAUUUACUGAUAAAGUUACAAAGUUGAUAUUUGGUUUAUUAAGAGCAAAUUAAAUAAGUAUUACUGUAAAUUAAUAAAUGCCUAAAUGACUAUGCAAAUGAAUUGUGAAAAUUCUGAAUCAAUGGAGAGAAAGUCUCAACAUUUUUAUCGUCUUGUCUGCUUGAUCCUUUUGAGAAUAGAUGCUGAAACUGAUUUUAGCCUCUGUUGUCACCAAGACUGUGAGACCAAGAACAGAUGCAUCUUCCAGCGUCAUGAGCUCUCCGGUUGCCUGUGUCUAAUAGGAAUACAGAGAUUAAUGUGAGUAAUCAUGAAGUUGCUUUCUCAGUUUCUGUUUUUUUUAAGUUAUUCAUUUAAAAGUGUGAAAUAUAUUUAGAGAAUGCAGCUCUAACUUAGUGAUAAAUAGAGAUAGAGUUAACAUUAUAUUGAUAUACAUAAGAAAAACUGAGGAUAAUUAACAAGAGAUGUAUCGUUGUGAGAAGAAUUCUAUAUCUAGAUUAGGGGCACAAAAAGUAUUCUUGAAAUUUUGUGAAUCAUACCUUUAAAAAUUAUUAUUAGGG
rnacentral:lncRNA from 1 species